CACACCGCCCGUCGCUACUACCGAUUGAAUGGCUCAGUGAGGCCUUGGGACUGGCUCAGAAAGGUCGGCAACGACCAUUCAGAGCCGGAAACUUGGUCAAACUUGGUCAUUUAGAGGAAGUAAAAGUCGUAACAAGGUUUCCGUAGGUAAGUUAUAUCGAAUAUCUCUCUGCUGUUUCGUGGCCAUUGCUAACUGUAAUUUAGGUGAACCUGCGGAAGGAUCAUUA
rnacentral:rRNA from 1 species